AGGGAGGAGCUCCUUAAAUUCCGGGUCAGCCCAGGAGCCGGGGUUCUCCAGCAAAGAACAAGAAGGCAAUUGUCUCCCAAAUGUCCAUUUUCCUAGCCUAGACUCCAGCAUCCCUGGUGAUCCCCAGCCAUCACAUCAUCCCUAACGUGCCCAAGAUCCUGUGGCGACCCUCGUCUAGCACGUUUUCUCUCCGUGCUAGUCUGUGACCCCAGCAACUCUUGCGACGACCCCUAAAUCCCCACAGUGAUCCCUGAGUCCCCAGCAGUGUCCUCCGUGAAAAUCCCCAGGAUGACCCCAGAAUUCCCCAGUGGAGACACUCUUAGCUCCGGAGUCCCCAGUGGCGACCACGAGCACCCAUGAAUUAUCUCCAUCCUUGAGUCCCCUAGUGGCGACCUCCGCCGAGUUCCCCGCACCUCCAAGUCCCUCGCCGUAACCCCCCAGCCCCGCCCCCCUCCCCGCAUCCCCUCGCGACCAGUGUUGCCUUGCGGUAAUACCCAAGAGCCUAGUGGCGCCCUACCGCAGUAACCCCCGCCCCCCGAGUGAGUCCCCGCGGGAUGCUGGUCCUGGCGCCCCUCGCCUUUCGCCACGCAGGUACCUGGCGGGCCAGGGUUGCAGUUGCUCUGGGCAAGCAGGCCAUGACGAAGCUGCGGGAGCGUGGGAAUACGUGGCACAGCGGCGACUCGUGGCGCACCGCGGAUCCCGACAGCCCGGGACUGCAGUUUGGCGUGGCGGGUGAAAGAGGUACGAUGGGAGAGCCACCAGCAAGCACCCGGCGCAGGGGCGAGCGCAGCCGAUGCAGCAUCUCCGCGUUGCGGGUGCGUGCAGUCACGCAUGGCUGGGCACGCGCAUAGAGGGCUCAGGAGCACCCGCACUUUACUAAGGAACUCUGAAGGGCAGGGCUCUGGACAUCUCAGAGACACAUUAGCAUCACAAGGGCCCUCUCUCCGAUCUGGAUUUGCAGCAGGGACCUGCAUUUGUGCUUCGGCUCUCGCCUGCAACAGUCCUACAGUUGCUGACCUCGAAACGUGAGGACUCUGCCUCGCUGUUCCCUGCCAGUAGCCUCCGAUGCAACCACCAUACGGCCUAUGGUUCAGGCAAAACAGCCGUCCUGUUAGUGCGGGGUGGUGUCUGUCGCUUUUAACCCCCGCCCUUGAAGGGCUGAUGAAAGAUGAUUGCUAAGAGUUUCCGACGACCUGUGCUACAUACAGUGAGACCCAGCCUCCCAAGCAAGCAAGCAAACAAACCAACCUAGGGGUUAGAAUCCACAACCACUACCAGCUCCAAGGACCACCAGCUGACCUUGAGUCCUCGCACUCAGGUGGCAGAAGCUAACUCCUUCAUUUCUGCCUUCACUACUGAUUUUAAUGAGCUAAAUAAUAACAGGGCCUCCAUUCUCCCUAUUGUUCACCUCUGAGACUUGUUUCCAAAGGGGUCCCAUGGACUCUCCCAAACAUCACAGUCUAUAGCCAAGGCUAUUGUUUACUCUCCAUAAGCUAAUGGUAAAGCCCUGUUUGCUGAAGACAUAAUUUGCAUAUGUCAUCAAACAUGGAGAAUAUCAGCCUAACUGAAGCUCUACCCCUCCAGACCAGCACACAUGGCACUGGGAGGUACUUCAUCACAUACCACCAGAGGAGAAAAGUAAUCACCAAUAUUACCCAUCUAUGAACCAUGAGAUCCACAACGGGAGACCUGACUGCAAGAUGUCAUGGGGAGAUAGUGGUACAAAUGUUAUUGUUGGAUACAAAGUUACAUAAAUGUUAUUGUUGGAUACAAAAUGGCCCUCAAAUGGCAAUGCAGGUAAUUGUGUCCUAAACAGAAGGACUCUGACUUGAUCAGGUAAACAGAAGGAUUGUUACAAAAGGAAAGGGAAAAAAAAAGGGGGGGGGGGAAUCAGCAUCUGAUAGCAAUCUCCUAUUGCAGGAUUGUGUUACCAAGGAAGCCACUGUACCCCUUGCGGACCUGACCUCUGGCAAGGGCAUCUAGUUCCUAACUAACCCUGCACUAACACCUACACUUUUCUGGCCUUCACCUCUCCUUUCCUGACGCCUAAAGGCUUCCUGCUCUGUCCACACACCCACUCCCCUGCCAAGACAGCACAGCAUUUUGACUCCUCAAAUAAGCUUUCCUUUCUACCCUCUCUUACAGUUAUGGGAGUAACUGGCUACUUUUCUAUUAGAUUUAAGGCCCACUCUGUGAGAUGGAACCCAUACAUUGCACUGCUGAAGUGGCCAAACUGAGACUGGAUAAGUCAUGGGACUAAAGGAAAACCUACUAUUAUUCUGCUAAAGAAACAUAGCAAUGAAUGACUCCUAAUGACAUAUUGCCAUGCCUAUUGGGCAGAGUAUCACUCGGCUGCAUCAAAAGAGCCAGGCAGUAGAUGGGAUUGCUGCAGAUCCACAACUGGACUUGGCUAUAGAUGGUGACUGAAGCAACAGUAAUAAAGAGAAAAAUCUGUGCUGUGGUUCAC
ensembl:antisense Gm26666 predicted gene, 26666